GUUGUGGCGGCAGCCUACCAUGCAGUCGGACGGUAGCACAGAGAACUUGGUCCCGUGUGAGAAGUGUGGGACAGGUGAGUAAUGUGUGGGGAUCUGCCCCAUAUAGGGGGAGAACCCCUGUGAACGGUGGGUAAUACCCCAUAACGUCUCAAGACCAAAAAGGGGGACCUUCUCGCCUCUCUCUAUCUCAUGAGCCCCCAUGGGAUUAUCUAUUAUGCGGGGUAAUGGGCCCCCUAUGCGACAAUCCCCAUCUGGGCUGAGAGAAUGACCCCCCCCACUGUAACUGAGACACGGUCCCCACUCCUAUAGGAGGCGCCACUGGGGAAUAUUGUGCAAUGGGCGCACACCUGAGGCGCCCAUGCCCCGUGUGUAAAAAAAGCCUUCUCGUUGUAAAGUACUUUCUCCGCG
rnacentral:rRNA from 1 species